UACGUAGGGGGCGAGCGUUAUCCGGAUUUAUUGGGCGUAAAGCGUGUGUAGGCGGUUUAUUAAGUCUAAGAUCAAAGCCCGAGGCUCAACCUCGGUUCGUCUUAGAAACUGGUAGACUUGAGUGUGGUAGAGGCAAGUGGAAUUUCUAGUGUAGCGGUUAAAUGCGUAGAUAUUAGAAGGAACACCAGUGGCGAAGGCGGCUUGCUGGGCCAUAACUGACGCUGAGACACGAAAGCGUGGGGAGCAAAUAGG
rnacentral:rRNA from 1 species